AGAGUUUGAUUCUGGCUCAGAACGAACGCUGGCAGCGUGGAUUAGGCAUGCAAGUCGAACGGGAAGCCGUUGAUCAAUCUUCGGAGAGUGAUUCGGUGGAGAGUGGCGAAAGGGUGAGUAACGCGUGUAUAAGCUGCCCUCAAGUUGGGGACAACGUCGGGAAACUGGCGCUAAUACCGGAUGUGGUCUUGUGGCGCAUGUCACGAUGACUAAAGGUGGGGAUCCUUCGGGACCUGCUGCUUGAGGAGGCAUACGCGUGCCAUUAGCUUGUUGGUGAGGUAACGGCUCACCAAGGCGUAUGGCUAGCUGGUCUGAGAGGAUGAUCAGCCACACUGGGACUGAGACACUGCCCAGACUCCUACGGGAGGCUGCAGUCGAGGAUCAUUCGCAAUGCGCGAAAGCGUGACGAUGCGACGCUGCGUGGAGGAUGACGGCCUUCGGGUUGUAAACUCCUGUCAUUCGGGAAAAACGGCCCUGUGUCGAUAACGCACGGGGUAUGAUGGUACCGGAAGAGGAAGCCACGGCUAACUCUGUGCCAGCAGCCGCGGUAAUACAGAGGUGGCGAGCGUUGUUCGGAUUUACUGGGCGUAAAGCGUGUGUAGGCGGUUUCGUAUGUCGGAUGUGAAAGCCAAUGCUCAACUAUUGAAUUGCAUCCGAAACUGCGGGACUAGAGUGCAGUAGGGGAGAGCGGAAUUCUAGGUGUAGCGGUGAAAUGCGUUGAUAUCUAGAAGAACACCGGUGGCGAAGGCGGCUCUCUGGAAUGUCACUGACGCUGAGACACGAAAGUCGGGGGAGCAAACAGGAUUAGAUACCCUGGUAGUCCCGACCGUAAACGGUGUGCACUUGGUGUGGGGGGUAUUGACCCCCCCCGUGCCGGAGCUAACGCGUUAAGUGCACCGCCUGGGGAGUACGGCCGCAAGGCUAAAACUCAAAGAAAUUGACGGGGGCCCGCACAAGCGGAGGAGCAUGUGGCUUAAUUCGAUGCAACGCGAAGAACCUUACCUGGGCUUGACAUGGUACUGCACGUCCUGUGAAAGCAGGAUUCCUUCGAGGGUGUAUCACAGGUGCUGCAUGGCUGUCGUCAGUUCGUGCCGUGAGGUGUUUGGUUAAGUCCAGCAACGAACGCAACCCUUGUGGUUAGUUGCCACCGCAGGUGAUGAGCCUGCGAGCACUCUAGCCAGACUGCCCGUACAAGCGGGAGGAAGGUGGGGAUGACGUCAAGUCAGUAUGGCCCUUACGCCCAGGGCUGCACACGUGCUACAAUGGUAGGUACAGUGGGACGCAAUACCGCGAGGUGGAGCAAAUCCCCAAAACCUGCCCCAGUUCGGAUUGGAGUCUGCAGCUCGACUCCAUGAAGUCGGAUUCGCUAGUAACGGCGUAUCAGCUACGACGCCGUGAAUACGUUCCCGGGCCUUGUACACACCGCCCGUCACAUCAUGAAAGCCGUCUGCACCCGAAGUCGCUGAGCUAACCCGCAAGGGAGGCAGGUGCCGAAGGUGUGGGUGGUGAUUGGGAU
rnacentral:rRNA from 1 species